CUUUCCCUACGGGACGCAGCAGUGGGGGAUAUUGCACAAUGGGGGGAACCCUGAUGCAGCGACGCCGCGUGGGUGAAGAAGUAUUUCGGUAUGUAAAGCCCUAUCGGCAGGGAAGAAUUUAGACGGUACCUGACUAAGAAGCCCCGGCUAACUACGAGCCAGCAGCCGCGGUAAUACGUAGCGGGCGAGCGUUAUCCGGAUUCACUGGGUGUAAAGGGAGCGUAGACGGCCAUGCAAGCCAGGGGUGAAAGCCCGGGGCCCAACCCCCGGACCGCCCUUG
rnacentral:rRNA from 1 species